GUGCCUAUAAGAACUGCAGGCAAUACUGCAGUUUACCUAACCAUGUGAAUGAGGUUAAUGUAUCAAGUUCUUGUUUCAAUAAAUAAGUGCAAUUAUGAACCUUUUCUGCCGUCUCUUAGCUUGAGAUCCUGGCUGAGUUACACAAGGAAUUUUGUUGGUGCUGAGAAGUGGAGGCAUAGGGCUGACGUCAUCAUCAUCGGAAAAGGGAACUUUUGCUGUCGGUUAUUAGAUGUCUGAUUGAGGGUGUUUGCGAGUUGUGACAGGCAAAUAAUGUGUUUGAACAUUUUGUGACCAUUUUACAUUCCCUACGGUCAGUUAUUGUCUUGAAUGGGAAGGGAGCUGAAUUGGCAAAGCAUUGUGUACCUGCAGAUCCUACGAAGAGAAAGAUGAAAGAAAGCUUGUAUCGAAUAGGGUUCAGCUCCGAACCAGACCUCCAGAACAUCCUGCCACUAAUAUACAAUUAACCUAGAAGGAACCAACAUCAUGCGAGUAGUAACAAAAAGCCUAGCUCACAAGGGAGAAGCUUCAACAGAGGUAGGAAAUGCAUAUGAAAGCCUACUGCUGGGAGCCAAUGUCAGUCAUAUGACCAUGAAACUACACCUAAUGUGAGACGAAGACAAGUUAUAGAUGACCAAUCUGCAUCAACCAGUGAUAAUUCAGUAUGAAGAAUGUAUGAAUCGAAUCCUAGAUUUUCCUCAGAGAAACCAAAUGAGAGUGGACAGAGAUUGAGUUUAGUAUAUUAUUUAAGUCUUCAAAUGUUUGGUACACGAAUCUCUACUAUUUGUGGUGUAUUUGUCUAAACUAUCCCUGAAUUUAAUUUUAUUGUACAAACGUUGUGAAUUUUAAAAUUUUGUUCAUA